GACGAACGCUGGCGGCGUGCUUAACACAUGCAAGUCGAACGGAAAGGCCCUGCUUUUGUGGUGUGCUCGAGUGGCGAACGGGUGAGUAACACGUGAGUAACCUGCCCUUGACUUUGGGUUAACUUCAGGAAACUGGGGCUAAUACCGGAUAGGAGCUCCUGCUGCAUGGUGGGGGUUGGAAAGUUUCGGCGGUUGGGGAUGGACUGGGGGCUUAUCCGCUUGUGGGUGGGGUAGUGGCUUACCAAGGCUUUGACGGGUAGCCGGCCUGAGAGGGUGACCGGGCACAAUGGGACUGAGGUACGGCCCAGACUGCAACGGGAGGCAGCAGUGGGGAGUAUUGCACAAUGGGCGGAAGCCUGAGGCAGCAACGCCGCGUGCGGGAUGACGGCCUUCGGGUUGUAAACCGCUUGCGCCUGUGACGAAGCGUGAGUGACGGUAAUGGGUAAAGAAGCACCGGCUAACUACGUG
rnacentral:rRNA from 1 species